UACGGAAGGCAGCAGUGGGGAAUAUUGCACAAUGGGCGAAAGCCUGAUGCAGCUAUGCCGCGUGUAUGAAGAAGGCCUUAGGGUUGUAAAGUACUUUCAUCGGGGAGGAAAAACAAAACUAAUAAUUUUAUUUCUUGACGUUACCCGAAAAAGAAGCACCGGCUAACUUCGUGCCAGCAGCCGCGGUAAUACGGAGGGUGCUAGCGUUAAUCAGAAUUACUGGGCGUAAAGAGCACGUAGGUGGUUUUUUUAAGUCAGAUGUGAAAUCCCUGGGCUUAACCUGGAACUGCAUUUUGAAACUGAAAUACUAGAGUAUCGUAGAGGGAGGUAGAAUUCUAGGUGUAGCGGUGAAAUGCGUAGAUAUCUGGAGGAAUACCUGUGGCGAAAGCGGCCUCCUAAACGAAUACUGACACUGAGGUGCGAAAGCGUGGGGAGCAAACAGGGAUUAGAUACC
rnacentral:rRNA from 1 species